GAUGCACCUUGCUGGCUCCAGCUGAGGAGCAGCCAGAAGCCUGGACCAAGGGAGCAGGAGAUGCUGCAGUCCAGGCAGGCACCCACGGGGGCCCCAGGGAGAUUACAGGUACUUGCGACACCCUGAAGACACCCAGACUCAGCUACAGGAGUUAAGCUGGGGAGCUUGCAACCAGGAUCUGUGUCUUUGUUACCUCAAGACUAGAUUAUUGCAGUGCACUCUGCCUGGAGCUAAACCUCAGAUAUGCCUGAAGAAUGAGAUAGGUGCAGAAUACAUCAGCCUGCUUGUUUAUUUUCUGACCUAGGGAACCAGAUUUCGUUUCCAGAAUUGUAACCACCCCAUCCCCAG